AACGAACGCUGGCGGCAUGCCUAACACAUGCAAGUCGAACGAAGCCUUCGGGCUUAGUGGCGCACGGGUGCGUAACACGUGGGAAUCUGCCCUUCGGUUCGGAAUAACAGUUAGAAAUGACUGCUAAUACCGGAUGAUGACGAAAGUCCAAAGAUUUAUCGCCGAAGGAUGAGCCCGCGUAGGAUUAGGUAGUUGGUAGGGUAAUGGCCUACCAAGCCGACGAUCCUUAGCUGGUCUGAGAGGAUGAUCAGCCACACUGGGACUGAGACACGGCCCAGACUCCUACGGGAGGCAGCAGUGGGGAAUAUUGGACAAUGGGCGAAAGCCUGAUCCAGCAAUGCCGCGUGAGUGAUGAAGGCCUUAGGGUUGUAAAGCUCUUUUACCAGGGAUGAUAAUGACAGUACCUGGAGAAUAAGCUCCGGCUAACUCCGUGCCAGCAGCCGCGGUAAUGUCUGUACU
rnacentral:rRNA from 1 species